rnacentral:rRNA from 1 species
AUUGAACGCUGGCGGCAGGCCUAACACAUGCAAGUCGAGCGGAGCGGCGGACGGGUGAGUAAUGCCUAGGAAUCUGCCUGGUAGUGGGGGAUAACGUCCGGAAACGGGCGCUAAUACCGCAUACUAUCAGAUUAGCCUAGGUCGGAUUAGCUAGUUGGGGGGGUAAAGGCCUACCAAGGCGACGAUCCGUAACUGGUCUGAGAGGAUGAUCGGUCACAUUGGAACUGGGACACGGUCCAGCUUCCUACGGGGGGAGGCAGUGGGGAAUAUUGGACAAUGGGCAAAAGCCUGAUCAAGCCAUGCGGCGGGUGUGAAGAAGGUCUUCGGAUUGUAAAGCACUUUAAGUUGGGAGGCGUUACCAACAGAAUAAGCACCGGCUAACUUCGUGCCAGCCGCCGCGGUAAUUC